rnacentral:rRNA from 1 species
CGGCUGCCUAACACAUGCAAGUCGAGCGAGGAACUUCGGUUCCUAGCGGCGGACGGGUGAGUAACACGUGGGUAACCUGCCUCAUAGAGGGGAAUAGCCUCCCGAAAGGGAGAUUAAUACCGCAUAACACUGCGGUUUCGCAUGAAACUGCAGUUAAAGGAGCAAUCCGCUAUGAGAUGGACCCGCGGGCGCAUUAGCUAGUUGGUGAGGUAAAGGCUCACCAAGGCCACGAUGCUUAGCCGACCUGAGAGGGUGAUCGGCCACAUUGGAACUGAGACACGGUCCAGACUCCUACGGGAGGCAGCAGUGGGGAAUAUUGCACAAUGGGCGAAAGCCUGAUGCAGCAACGCCGCGUGGAGGAUGAAUGCCUUCGGGUUGUAACUCUUGUCUUCUGGGACGAUAAUGACGGUACCAGAGGAGGAAGCCACGGCUACUACGUGCCAGCAGCGCGGUAUACGUAGGUGGCGAGCGUUGUCCGGAUUUACCUGGGCGUAAGGAUGCGUAGCGGAUAUUAAUGGGAUGUGAAAUACCUGGCCUAUUCUGGUGCUGCAUCGAAACUGGUAUCUAGAGUGCGGAAGAAGUGAUUCUA